AACUUUCAGCAACGGAUCACUUGGCUCUCGCAUCGAUGAAGAACGCAGCGAAAUGCGAUACGUAAUGUGAAUUGCAGAAUUCCAGUGAGUCAUCGAAUCUUUGAACGCACAUUGCGCCCUUUGGUAUUCCGAAGGGCAUGCCUGUUCGAGCGUCAUUAUCACCCCUCAAGCCCUCCUUUGGGCUUGGCUUUGGACGGUCUGGUUAGGCGACUGACCCCUCCUAAAGACAAUGACGGCCGCCUCGUCGGACCCCCGGUACACUGAGCUUCUUAACUGAGCACGUAUCGGAUUCAGGGUGCGCGGGACACGGUCUCCUUUCACCCGCUCCUUCGGGGGUGGGAGAAAAAUCUUCUCAAGGUUGACCUCGGAUCAGGUAGGGAUACCCGCUGAACUUAAGCAUAUCAAUAAGCGGAGGCU
rnacentral:misc_RNA from 1 species